GGGGGGGGGGGGGGGGGCGCGGGGGGGGGGCGGGGCGGCCGGGACGGGCCGGCUGUGGGUGGGGGCUCGCGUGGCGGACGGGUGGUUAACCCGGGGGUAGCAUGCGCUGGACGGGGGGAUAACUGCGGGACACUGGGGCUAACGACGGCUGAGAGCUCCUGAGGAAUGGGGGGGGUUCGCAAGUUUCGGCGGUUGGGGAUCGAGGCGCGGACUGUCAGCUUGUGUGCGGGGUAGUGUGUUCCCAAGGCUUUGCCGGGUAGCCGGCAUGAGAGGGUGACAGGACACAUUGGGACUGCGAUACGGCCCAGACUCCUACGGGAGGCAGCAGUGGGGAAUAGUGCACAAUGGGCGGAAGCCUGAUGCAGCAACGCCGCGUGCGGGAUGACGGCCUUCGGGUUGUAAACCGCUUUCGCCUGUGACGAAGAGUGAGUGACGGUAAUGGGUAAAGAAGCACCGGCUAACUACGUG
rnacentral:rRNA from 1 species